rnacentral:ncRNA from 2 species
CUCUUAUCAAGAGUGGCAGAGGGACUGGCCCGAUGACGCCCAGCAACCGUUCCGAAAAGGAAUUGGUGCUAAAUCCUGCAAAACAAGUAAUUGUUUUGAAAGAUAAGAG